rnacentral:rRNA from 1 species
CCUACGGGUGGCUGCAGUGAGGAAUAUUGGUCAAUGGGAGAGAUCCUGAACCAGCCAAGCCGCGUGAGUGAAGAAGUAUCUCGGUACGUAAAGCUCUAUCAGCAGGAAAGAAAAUGACGGUACCUGACUAAGAAGCCCCGGCUAACUACGUGCCAGCAGCCGCGGUAAUACGUAGGGGGCAAGCGUUAUCCGGAUUUACUGGGUGUAAAGGGAGCGUAGACGGCGCUGCAAGUCCGGAGUGAAAGCCCAUGGCUUAACCAUGGUACUGCUCUGGAAACUGUAGAGCUUGAGUGCGGGAGGGGCAGGCGGAAUUCCUAGGGGAGCGGUGAAAGGCGUAGAUAUUAGGAGGAACACCGGCGGCGAAGGCGGCCUGCUGGACCGUAACUGACGUUGAGGCUCGAAAGCGUGGGGAGCAAACAGGAUUAGAUACCCUUGUAGUC